rnacentral:rRNA from 1 species
GGUGAACGCUGGCGGCGUGCUUAAGACAUGCAAGUCGAACGGCAGUCUUCGGACUGUAGUGGCGCACGGGUGAGUAACGCGUAGCUGACCUACCCCAAAGUCGCGGAUAACGAUUCGAAAGAAUCGCUAAUACGUGAUGUGCUGUCAGAUUGUGUUCUGCCAGUAAAGAUUGAUUGCUUUGGGAUGGGGUUGCGUUCCAUCAGCUAGUAGGUGGGGUAAAGGCCCACCAAGGCGACGACGGAUAGCCGGCCUGAGAGGGUGGCCGGCCACAGGGGCACUGAGACACGGGUCCCACUCCUACGGGAGGCAGCAGUUAGGAAUCUUCCACAAUGGGCGAAAGCCUGAUGGAGCGACGCCGCGUGAGGGAUGAAGGUCUUCGGAUCGUAAACCUCUGAAUCAGGGACGAAAGACACUUCGGUGGGAUGACGGUACCUGAGUAAUAGCACCGGCUAACUCCGUGCCAGCAGCCGCGGUAAUAC